UACGAAGGGGGCUAGCGUUGCUCGGAAUCACUGGGCGUAAAGCGCACGUAGGCGGACUCUUAAGUCGGUGGUGAAAUCCUGGAGCUCAACUCCAGAACUGCCUUCGAUACUGAGAGUCUCGAGUCCGGGAGAGGUGAGUGGAACUGCGAGUGUAGAGGUGAAAUUCGUAGAUAUUCGCAAGAACACCAGUGGCGAAGGCGGCUCACUGGACCGGUUCUGACGCUGAGGCGCGAAAG
rnacentral:rRNA from 1 species